rnacentral:rRNA from 1 species
CCUACGGGUGGCAGCAGUGAGGAAUAUUGCACAAUGGGGGAAACCCUGAUGCAGCGACGUCGCGUGAGUGAAGAAGUAUUUCGGUAUGUAAAGCUCUAUCUGUAGGGAAGCAGAAAGACGGUACCUGACUCAGAAGCCCCGGCUGACUACGUGCCAGCAGCCGCGGUAAUACGUAGGGGGCACGCGUUAUCCGGAUUUACUGGGUGUAAACGGAUCGUAUACGGCUCUGCAAGUCUGAAGUGAAAGCCCAGGUCUGAACCCUGGGACUGCUUUGGAAACUGUGGCGCUAGAGUGCUGGAGAGGUAAGUGGAAUUCGUGGUGUAGCGGUGAAAUGCGUAGAUAUUAGGAGGAACACCAGUGGCGAAGGCGGCAUACUGGACAGUAACUGACGCUGAGGCACGAAGGCCAGGGGAGCGAAAGGGAGUAGAUACCCGUGUAGUC